GACGAACGCUGGCGGCGUGCCUAACACAUGCAAGUCGAACGGAAAGGCCCUGGCUUGGUGGGGUGCUCGAGUGGCGAACGGGUGAGUAACACGUGAGUAACCUGCCCUUGACGUUGGGAUAACUUCAUGAAACCGGGGCCAAUACCGGAUAGGAGAUCCUGCUGCAUGGUGGUGGUUGGAAAGGUUCGGCGGUUGGGGAUGGACUGGCGGCUGAGCAGCAUGUUGGUGGGGUAGUGGCUGACCAAGGCGUUGACGGGUAGCCGGCCCGAGAGGGGGACCGGCCACAUUGGGACUGAGCUACGGCACGGACUCCUACGGGAGGCAGCGGAGGGGAGUAAUGCACGAUGGGCGGAAGCCUGGUGCGGCAACGCCGCGUGCGGGAUGACGGCCUUCGGGUUGUGAGCAGAUUUCGCGUGUGACGAGGCGUGAGUGACGGUACUGGGUAAAAAAGCCCCGGCUAACUACGUG
rnacentral:rRNA from 1 species